GGCCCCAUCGUCUAGCGGUCUAGGACAUUAGGUUCUCAUCCUAAAAACCUGGGUUCGAGUCCCAGCGGGGUCA
rfam:Candidatus Woesebacteria bacterium RBG_13_36_22 RBG_13_scaffold_3802, whole genome shotgun sequence.